UUGCUAUCUUUGUAUGCCCAGAUUUUCCAUGGUUAAUGUUUUGUUGUUGUUGGUUAAUACUGCAUGAUAAUUGAUGUUGCAUGGCCAUGUUUGUUUCUUGAUGUUGCAUCGUGUUGUUUGAGGUUUGUCCAUGAACCAUGAAGUUUGAAGUUGCCAAACCAUGCUUAAACCUUAGGGUUUUAGAAACUCAGAAAAUAUGAGGUUCCAUUGGCGCAUGUACUGUUCUAUUGGCUGGGAGCCAAUCAGAACAUUUCGUUUUGCCUUGCCAAAACGCAGAGUUUAGAUUAGUGAGUCCAAAA
rnacentral:lncRNA from 1 species